ensembl:lncRNA
GCACGACUUACACAAGGCCAAGCUGUAGUUAUAUACUGGAUUUCAUUAGGCUCUGGUGGCUUCAGAAGCACAGGAAGGACCUCUGAAGCACUUAGGAACUGCUGACAGGAUAUUAGCCCUGUGCAGAAGGAAGACAAAAGAGAUACACAGUGGCAGUGCCAUUUCUGUGAAGAGAGCCUGAGUCCUCAUCAUCACAAAGUAGCUGUUACUGGCACUAACAGCACAGAUUUCUCUGCUGCUGUUUAUUGAAAUGAAAUACACACAGUGACUGAAAAAUCAGGCUUGCAGCCCACGUGCCCUCUCUAUCUCCCCAGGACACGAAGGCACACUAUGGGAAGGGCUGGGCUCAACUCCUGGGCAGCGAGAAACAGAGACCCUGGGUAGGGAGGUUGCAAGAAAGGGCAUGUGGGUUACUGCGAUGGAGAGCGACUCCUGUCUGCUAGGUGAGAUGCUGUCCUCAGGAAAUGAAGCUAAACUGAAGCAAGUUUUGUAUCUCCCUCCUGCAGAAGAUCUUAGACUUUAUUUGUUAUCAGUGAAAGCGGUGUUGCCCAACAGUGCCAUCCGAGUUGCAAUAAGCAGGGUGGCUGCCAGGCAAAUCAAAUCCAGCACCAUAUCUUCUUCUGAUGAGUCACUUCCAGCCUUCUUCCAAGGGAGCAGAGGGUGCAGGCAGCUCCUCCGUGGGGUUUCUGAAGGUUGUGUUUGGAGUGUGGUGGUUAUGCCCAGCAGGACUUGAACAGAACCCCAACACACCACAGGUAUAUGUGGGCAUGAUGCCUUCUCAUAGAGACAUUUAGUUGCUGGAUUAUAACACUGCUACUGUAGAAAAUUUCCUGCUGCUCUUGCAGUUCUUUGGAUGUUCACAGAUUGCAUAUGAAGAUCUUGGGAUAUCUUGUACUUUUCUUUAGAAGCUCUGUGGACUUAAAGAGGUGAGAUCCAGAAAUCUAAGAAGCCUGGGAGCUGGUCCUCAAGCACUAAAUCUGGGCAGUGCUACCAUUUUUCUUUCGGUAUAUCGUGGCCAACUAACCCUCAACUACAGGCAGUUAAAAAAGACAGAAGUUUU